rnacentral:rRNA from 1 species
CCUACGGGUGGCAGCAGUGAGGAAUAUUGGUCAAUGGGCGAGAGCCUGAACCAGCCAAGUCGCGUGAGGGAGUACUGCCCUAUGGGUUGUAAACCUCUUUUGUCGGGGAGCAAAAGCCGGACGUGUCCGGCUGUGAGCGUACCCGAAGAAAAAGCAUCGGCAAACUCCGUUCCAGCAGCCGCGGUCAUACGGGGGAUGCGAGCGGUAUCCGGGUUUUUUGGGUGAAAGGGGUGCGCAGGGGGAUUGUUAGGUCAGCGGUAAAAUCGUGGGGCUUAACCCCAUCCAGCCGUUGAAACUGGGGAUCUAGAGUGUGCGAGAGGUAUGCGGAAUGCGUGGUGUAGCGGUGAAAUGCAUAGAUAUCACGCAGAACCCCGAUUGCGAAGGCAGCAUACCGGUGCACAACUGACGCUCAGGCACGAAAGCGUGGGUAUCGAACAGGAUUAGAUACCCUGGUAGUC